rnacentral:lncRNA from 1 species
GACUAGUAAUCUGAGUUUAUGCGCAUGUUCCGUUAUUAUGUCGUACUUUAACUGUUAUGCCCUUUUUACCAAAAAUAAGGUUUAGAGACCAAUAAGCUUGCAAAUAAUUCAGAUACUAAUAUGUUAACAUGUUUAACAUAUUUUGAUGUUACGAAUCUGAUUAUAAACUGACUUUGCGUAUAAUUUCGUAAAUUAUGCUUUAAAGUGACCAAAAUGCCCUUCAGGCGCGUAGAUCGGUUUUAAGCAUAAUUUCUCAUACCAAACUCAUUGCCUACUGAUAUAAUAUAAUAAUUAGAAUAUUUUGGGAUAUCUAUUCAAUUUACAAACUGAGUUUAUGCACAAGUUCUUGAAUUAUGUUCGUAAAUGACAAUAAUGCCCUUUUGGCAUCUAAAAUGGUUUUAAAGCAUAAUUUUCAUACAAAACCUUUUGACUACUGAUAUGUUAUAUUAAUUAACAUAUUUCGGUCAUAUAAACCUGAUCAUAACAUCAGUUUUCCUAAAAGAUAGCAAAUAUCGCCAUUUAACGACUUUAACGCCAUGUCGGCGCGUAGUGUGGUUUUUAAACCAUAAAUACCUACCAAGACUUGUUACCUACUGAUUUUAUAAAUCGUUUUAAAUAUUUUUACAGUAGGUACAUGAUAUAAACUCAGAUUACCAAAUUAGCUUUCAAAACUAUGUGUGAAAUUACCAAAAUGCCCCUACGGAGCAUAGUUUGGUCUUAAACUAUAAAACACACAUAUGUUUGAUAUCCUACUGAUAUUAUAUCAUAAGAAAAGUGUUUUCACAGAAUGUUUAUGGUCGUAACAUCAGAUUAUACGCAAGUUCCUUUUAUAUGUUGUAAAAUGACCAAAACGCCCUUAUCAGGCAUAGUUUGAUUUUAAAAACUUAACGGGCAUACAAGUUGAUAUCCUACUGGUAUUAUAACUUUUUAAAGUAUAUUGGCAUAUGGAACUUGUUCAUGACUCAUCCGGUUACUCGUUAUCGCUUAUACGCAUACGGUUAGACUUGCGUAACUAGUUUACGUAAGUUUGCCGAAACAGGUUUAACCUUAUCAUUUUUACUUCAAAAUACAGAAUGUAAAUAGUUUACCCAUAUUGUACAAGUCUUUAUACUUGUUGGGUCUAAAUUACAUUCUAUUCUGGUCAUCGCUUAAUCUAGCGUAUCGUACCGUUUCUAAUACUUUAAGCUAGCAGGUCUAGGUCUAUGACUUCAAUAAGACCCGUUAGCAUUCUAAAUUGGUUAUAUAUUACCAUCAUUCCACUAGAGCCUCCCGGUAAAAGCUAUCUACACUUAUCUAGUGUAUUAUACGACUGGGUUAUUUAAACCUUGCUGUGAAUCGAGUAUUAGCUCAGGUAAAUACUUUUAACUUAUUUUCCCUUAUACGGGCUUGGGAUACGGUAAAUUAUUACCGCUUGGUCGAGAAUGGGAUCACUUGGUCGGAUUGUGACUAACAAAUCCGCAUAACCCGAAACAUUGGGGGUUAAUGCAACCGUGUCCUGGAUAUCCUCGUCUCAUUUAAUUGCAAAUGGCCACGACCUAUGCACGGGGUGUAGGUAUACACCUGACAGUUGCAAAAUGCUAAAUUAUACCCACAAGGUUGGGGAUAACUCCUUUGUGGGUUUAUAAAAGUGGCGUGUCGGUUAAUCAUGUCUCGGUUUCUAUACUGGGCCCCAUAUGUAUGAAAAAAAUGUAAAUCUGUAUACAAGAUUAUAAAUGUAAUUGUCCCAAGUUAUAAAAGAAUUUUUCGUGCCUUGUGCACCUAGAUCAAUUUUUUGAAAAUGUUUUCAAAUGUGUACUAUACGCAAAUAGGCUGGUAGCUGCUCGGUGUCAAUAAAGGAUCUUGCAAAUCCUUAGGAUGCCCUAAAGUAUGUUAAACAUCAUUUUGUACAUUUAUUAGAUCCGCCUGUGGAUUUGAUAUUACAAGCUCGUCUGUAAUUAUUACUUCAGUAUUUUUUUCAAACAAUUGAGUUUGUAAUAAUAUUUUAUAUUCCAAGACUUCCGUUGUGG